UUUCUGAAAAAUGUCAAUUAAAGAAAAGAUAUCUGUCAAUUUAUAAAUAUUAUACACUAUAUUUAUUUUUUUAAAUUUUUAGAAAAUUCAUUUACAUAAUGGGAUUUAGAUUUUCACAGACCUUUUGAAUAAAGAAUCCCUUUUAUGAUAAGAUAAUCCUACUCAAUUAACAAUAUAAAGAAACAUUUUUGGAUUUUAAAAAGAUAAAUAAAUAUAAUAAAGAAUGAAGCUAUUUUUAUUUAAUCUUAAUAUGUAUACUUAAUAAGUUAUCUGGGUUUUGAACCAUGGCAAUUAUUUUUGCUAAUAAUUUUUUAAAUAAUCAUUUUCAAUGGGGUAAAUAUUACCACAUUUUUGUGAGGCAAUCAGGUUGGACCCAUAAUUGAUUUCUAUUUAUGAUAAAUGAUUCUUUGAGGUAAGUGUAAAUUAUAUACAAAAUUAUAAGUGAGAGGUGAAAACCAUUGUGUGAUAAAAAAUUUGUUAAAAGAAUUGAUAAAUUUUUUAUUUCAUUAUUAGAUAAAUUUUAUAUAACAUCAAAUUUUCCAUAAUAUAUUUGGCCUUUUUUCUAAAUAUUUAUAGAAAUCUUGGGAGAAUGAACAGAUAAUCUAUUCCUCUCAUUUGAUUAUUGAUUUAAGAAAAGAUUUCAAUUAAAU